rnacentral:lncRNA from 1 species
UCAUCUCCCUCCCUAUUUUUGAUCCAAUUAACUCUGCUUCGCCCCGUCUUUUCCGAUCUGUAGGAUCUCCUACUACGCACUCUUCCUACGUGUAAUCUUAUUCCGCGGAUACAAAUCAUCCAAUUUCACGAUGGAUUCUCUCGUGUGGUUUCUUACACGUUGAUUUGCAGCCACUCAUACGUACAGUGCACUACCGCCGGUUAUCUACUGCUAUCCGUGGGUCUUGGGAAUGCAAGUGCCAAAGACACAACACCUUGAUCAGAUAAGAAGCCUCAUGAGAGCGAAACAAGGUUAAGGCGCCACUCAACCACAGCACAUACUACUACAUAGCGGUAGAAGUUCAUCUUGAAUUGUUGAUACCGCUAAACCUAUUUCAGGCCGCGUUCACUCACUAGUCUAACUCUUUGUUACCACG